UAGUUGGAUAUUUGUUGGAGAAUACUGGUCUACCCCAGUGGUCAGUACUCGGUAUAUCUCCGACAUCUCUUUGGUUAACUGCGUUCACUUCAUUGUGCGCGCAGAUGAGCCAAAACUUUUACUUUGAGGAAAUGAGAGUGUUUCAAGCAGGCCUAGCCAUGAAUACGUUAGCAUGGAAUAAUAGCAUAGGACCUUGUGUCGUAUCUGUUGGUUGACGACACAUGGUAAUAAAAAUAGGGAUAGUUGGGGGCAUUCGUAUUGCAUAGUCAGAGGUGAAAUUCUUAGAUUUGUGCAAGACGGACUACUGCGAAAGCAUUUGCCAAGGAUGUUUUUAUUAAUCAAGAACGAAAGUUAGGGGAUCGAAGACGAUCAGAUACCGUCGUAGUCUUAACCAUAAACUAUGCCGACUAGAGAUUGGAGGGCGUUAAUUUAUGACCCCUUCAGCAGCUUGAGAGAAAUCAAAGUCUUUGGGUUCCGGGGGGAGUAUGGUCGCAAGGCUGAAACUUAAAGGAAUUGACGGAAGGGCACCACCAGGAGUGGAGCCUGCGGCUUAAUUUGACUCAACACGGGA
rnacentral:rRNA from 1 species